rnacentral:lncRNA from 1 species
CCCAGGCAUCCACGUAAGAAUACAUAAAAAGUCAUACAUGACAUAGAAGUACAUCAAAGGAAUAUCAAUUUAGAAGCUUAGGCACAACGCAGAUCAGUUAACUGACACCAUACAGCUAUAUGUAUUGCCAGGUAAAAAUCAAGUGAUAAGAUUGCAAAUUAUCACAGUAAGAAACUACCAGUAGAAUCAGUAAGUUGAGACCAAACCCAAGAAUCCAUGGGGGAUAGACUACUUCAGAAGAUGAAGAUACAAGUCACUAAACCAGAAUUACAGAGAUGGAGAAACGUACUUGAGAAAUUGCGAGCCUUGAACUUAUUGCAACCCCAAAAAUUCCCGCCUAGUAAUCCAUGCAUGCAUCAGAUAAAAGAGAAACCAAACGGAAUAAAUCAGACAAUAAAACACCCAAAAAGAAAAAGCUAAUAAACCUGGCUUUUUCAGAUAAAAACAAACAUCCAAACAAGGCAUUUAACACUAAAAAUGUUAAACGUGUUUAGACCCUAUUUCUCUCAUUUUUCAACCCACAUUUCUGUCAAACGAUUCCUUUUUUCACCAAAGAGAAAAAUGAGGGGAAAAAAAAGAACGGAUUACACCCAGAUUCCGGCAAUAAAAUCAAAACUCGUACCAGACGUGAUUAAACACGAUUUAGGAAAAGACCCAUAAGCCAGAGACUCCAUUGAAACUUCCACUGAACUAGCGAUGGAUAAAACUGCGCAUCAAUUC